CCGAGUUCAUGCCCCCUUGUGGGGUAGAUCUCCCACCCUUUGUGUAUCUUAACCUUUUGUUGCUUUGGCAGGCCGCUGGGCUGCAAGCCUGGCCACCGGCUCCCUGGAGCUGGCGCGCGCCUGCCAGAGGACCUCCAAACUCAUGUUUGCCAGUGUCGUCUGAGUAUCAUUGCAAAUCGUUA
rnacentral:misc_RNA from 1 species